UUAGGGAACAACAACAAGCACAAUAAUACUUGUUGAUACCUAGGAUGCUGGCAGCAACCCGUAUCAACCCUCAGACCCAGUCAAUGAUAGUUGUGAUACAUUUUUAAAUGUUCAGUUGACUGAGUUUCAUGUUUAAUGAAUAAAAGAUAGUAAUA